GACGAACGCUGGCGGCGUGAUUAACACAUGCAAGUCGAGCGGUAAGGCCCUUUCGGGGGUACACGAGCGGCGAACGGGUGAGUAACACGUGGGUGACCUGCCCUCAGCUCUGGGAUAAGCCUGGGAAACCGGGUCUAAUACUGGAUAUGACUCCAUGACGCAUGUUGUGGGGCGGAAAGCCUUGUGCGGCUGAGGAUGGGCCCGCGGCCUAUCAGCUUGUUGGUGGGGUGAGGCCUACCAAGGCGACGACGGGUAGCCGGCCUGAGAGGGCGACCGGCCACACUGGGACUGAGACACGGCCCAGACUCCUACGGGAGGCAGCAGUGGGGAAUCUUGCGCAAUGGGCGAAAGCCUGACGCAGCGACGCCGCGUGAGGGAUGACGGCCUGG
rnacentral:rRNA from 1 species